AUGUGAUCCAUGAAGACUUGCCUUCCACCACACCAGAUGUAGAGGAUUCAAGUCGGAGCCCAGAUCAGGAACCCCAGACACCUCCUCCUGAAGGACUCCUACCUAGACCCCCUGGUGACGGCGGAAACCAAGAUCAUGGUCCUCAGCAGAGACCACCCCGACCAGCAGGCCAUCACCACCAUCCUCCCCCACCUCCUUUUCAAAAUCAUCAAGGACCAGGAGGCCUUCACCACUUUCUACCCCUACCUCCUCUUGUAAGGCCACAGGGAGUGCCACCAUUAUUCCCAGGGGACAGACCAAGAAGACCUCCCCGGUACCAGCCACUCUGGUAAUCUAGAAUUCAAUGACAGAAAAUAAGAAGACAACUUCCUUCAGAAAGCCAUGACAUUGAAAUAGUGCAGUCACAACCCCUUUCUUCAGUAUACCAAUAAAAUAUUAAUAGCAUGCAA